rnacentral:rRNA from 1 species
GAUGAACGCUGGCGGCGUGCCUAAUACAUGCAAGUCGAGCGAACGGACGAGAAGCUUUCUUCUCUGAUGUUAGCGGCGGACGGGUGAGUAACACGUGGAUAACCUACCUAUAAGACUGGGAUAACUUCGGGAAAAAGGAGCUAAUACCGGAUAAUAUUUUGAACCGCAUGGUUCAAAAGUGAAAGACGGUCUUGCUGUUUGUUAUAGAUGGAUCCGCGUUGCAUUAGCUAGUUGGUAAGGGAACGGCUUACCAAGGCAACGAUGCAUAGCCGACCUGAGAGGGUGAUCGGCCACACUGGAACUGAGACACGGUCCAGACUCCUACGGGAGGCAGCAGUAGGGAAUCUUCCGCAAUGGGCGAAAGCCUGACGGAGCAACACCGCGUGAGUGAUGAAGGUCUUCGGAUCGUAAAACUCUGUUAUUAGGGAAGAACAUAUGUGUAAGUACCUGUGCACAUCUUGACGGUACCUAAUCAGAAAGCCACGGCUAACUACGUG